rnacentral:piRNA from 1 species
GUCACACUGUGGAUGUGUUUAGCCA